rnacentral:misc_RNA from 1 species
UCCGGCUUGACGCCGGCAGUCUGUCUAGAGUGCCCAACUUAAUGAUGGCAACUAAACACGAGGGUUGCGCUCGUUGCGGAACUUAAUCCAACACCUCACGGCACGAGCUGACGACAACCAUGCACCACCUGUCACCAGUGCCCGAAGGGGUCCCAUAUUUCUACGGGAUUACACUGGGAAGUCAAGUCUUGGUAAGGUUCUUGGCGUAGCAUCCAAUUAAACCACAUGCUCCACUGCUUGUGCGGGCCCCCGUCAAUUCCUUUGAGUUUCAACCUUGCGGCCGUACUCCCCAGGCGGGGCACUUAAUGCGUUAGCGGCGGCGCCAAGGGGGUCGAAGCCCCUGACACCUAGUGCCCAUCGUUUACCGCUAGGACUA